CGUGAGAUGUUGGGUUAAGUCCCGCAACGAGCGCAACCCUUGUCCCUAGUUGCCAGCAUUCAGUUGGGCACUCCAGGGAGACCGCCGGUGACAAACCGGAGGAAGGUGGGGAUGACGUCAAGUCAUCAUGGCCUUUAUGGCCAGGGCUACACACGUGCUACAAUGGCAAGGUACAGAGGGAAGCCAACCGGCGACGGGGAGCCAAUCCCAGAAAACUUGUCGUAGUCCGGAUUGGAGUCUGCAACUCGACUCCA
rnacentral:rRNA from 1 species